rnacentral:rRNA from 1 species
GAAUCUGCCUAGUAGUGGGGGAUAACGUCCGGAAACGGGCGCUAAUACCGCAUACGUCCUACGGGAGAAAGUGGGGGAUCUUCGGACCUCACGCUAUUAGAUGAGCCUAGGUCGGAUUAGCUAGUUGGUGAGGUAAUGGCUCACCAAGGCGACGAUCCGUAACUGGUCUGAGAGGAUGAUCAGUCACACUGGAACUGAGACACGGUCCAGACUCCUACGGGAGGCAGCAGUGGGGAAUAUUGGACAAUGGGCGAAAGCCUGAUCCAGCCAUGCCGCGUGUGUGAAGAAGGUCUUCGGAUUGUAAAGCACUUUAAGUUGGGAGGAAGGGCAGUUACCUAAUACGUGAUUGUUUUGACGUUACCGAUAGAAUAAGCACCGGCUAACUCUGUGCCAGCAGCCGCGGUAAUACAGAGGGUGCAAGCGUUAAUCGGAAUUACUGGGCGUAAAGCGCGCGUAGGUGGUUUGUUAAGUUGGAUGUGAAAGCCCCGGGCUCAACCUGGGAACUGCAU